CCUACGGGGGGCAGCAGUGGGGGAUAUUGCACAAUGGGGGAAACCCUGAUGCAGCGACGCCGCGUGUGGGAAGACGGUCCUCUGGAUUGUAACCCACUGUCCCCAGGGACGAAGAUGACGGUACCUGGGGAGGAUGCUCCGGCUAACACCGUGCCAGCAGCCGCGGUAAUACGUAGGGAGCGAGCGUUGUCCGGAAUUACUGGGGGAAAAGGGGGCGUAGGCGGGACUGAAAGUUGGGGGUAAAAUCUACCGGCUCAACCGGUAGCCGCACUCAAAACUGCAGUUCUUGAGUGAAGUAGAGGCAGGCGGAAUUCCUAGUGUAGCGGUGAAAUGCGUAGAUAUUAGGAGGAACACCAGUGGCGAAGGCGGCCUGCUGGGCUUUUACUGACGCUGAGGCUCGAAAGUGUGGGGAGCAAACAGGAUUAGAUACCCUUGUAGUC
rnacentral:rRNA from 1 species